rnacentral:rRNA from 1 species
GGCCUAACACAUGCAAGUCGAGCGGUAGAGAGAAGCUUGCUUCUCUUGAGAGCGGCGGACGGGUGAGUAAUGCCUAGGAAUCUGCCUGGUAGUGGGGGAUAACGUUCGGAAACGGACGCUAAUACCGCAUACGUCCUACGGGAGAAAGCAGGGGACCUUCGGGCCUUGCGCUAUCAGAUGAGCCUAGGUCGGAUUAGCUAGUUGGUGAGGUAAUGGCUCACCAAGGCGACGAUCCGUAACUGGUCUGAGAGGAUGAUCAGUCACACUGGAACUGAGACACGGUCCAGACUCCUACGGGAGGCAGCAGUGGGGAAUAUUGGACAAUGGGUGAAAGCCUGAUCCAGCCAUGCCGCGUGUGUGAAGAAGGUCUUCGGAUUGUAAAGCACUUUAAGUUGGGAGGAAGGGCAGUUACCUAAUACGUGAUUGUUUUGACGUUACCGACAGAAUAAG